GGUUCCUCCACAACAUUACUGUCUUUGGGAAAGAUGAGGUAAAAAUUCAGCCAGAUUCUCCUCUCACAUAAACUCCAGACCACGUGGAUGUCACAGCCAGGGGCUGCCUCAAACAUGCUGUCCGGUCAUGGUUCGUGUUAACGUCAGAGCUCAGUACUAUGGACCCUGGUUUUCUCGGGGGUAGCAAAGGAUGACUGAAACAGCACCAGAAGCUUACUCUUUCAUCUUCAGCCCUCUAUACGCUUCAAACACACCACGCACCAUCCCACAGGCUCAGGACUUCCGUGGAUCACCUGCCAUCUCAGCAAGAGAGCUCAGAAUCCCAGGUCAACAGGCUCUCCUCCUCCUCCAAGUAAAGGACAGAGCCAUCUGCUAAGCAAGCACUCGCAGCAGCAUGGCAGUGAGUCGGCGCGAGGAACUGACCAGCCACAGGAGUAUGUC
ensembl:lncRNA